GAUGCGCAUUCGCCAUGAGAGCGGCUCUCUUUGGUUCUCGCACUGCAGACAGUCCUCUAGGCUUCCAUUCGACAGGAAUUCGAAGACCAACGCUUUGGCCUCCCUGCACACUCCUAUCAGAGUGACAAGCUCUGCUUGCAACUGUUGGAGCUCUUCCAUUAGGGUGUUUGUCUGAAGAAGCUUGCUCUCCAAUUCUGCUCUUUGCUCAUUUGCCUUCUGCAGCUCGUUGCAUACAUGGAUGUGCUCUUUUUCAAGAAAUUGAGGUACUGGUUUAAAAGUGUGUUCAUCUCCUCCUUCUCAAUCUUUCUGUAUGCUUUGAGCUCCUUUUCUUCGACCUGGCUUGCUGGAACCUUGCAUAAUCCUGCGCCGGCAACAUUAGAGUUGAAUCAGCAUAGGUUACUGAACAAGUAUUUGCUAUGCUACAUUGAACUAUUCUCUUGUGAAACAGGGGAUGAAAAAGAAAAUGGAGAUGGGGACCAAAUCCAGUAAGAUCAAGGCUGGUGGACGUGCAGCAGGACAAGCUUGGGAUCACCGGCGAGGAGGUUCCGAGCUGCCCAGACGAGGUUGGACCUGCCGUCCUUGACGUCCUUCCCGACGGCGACAUACAGCUUCCCUACGCCGUCAUCAUCAUAAG